UCCGGCUUAUCACCGGCGGUUUCUUUAGAGUGCCCAACUAAAUGAUGGCAACUAAAGACGAGGGUUGCGCUCGUUGCGGGACUUAACCCAACAUCUCACGACACGAGCUGGCGACAGCCAUGCAGCACCUCUAUACAGUCCUCCGAAGGGGGGCCCUCAUCUCUGAGGCUUUCCUGUACAGUUCAAACCCAGGUAAGGUUCUGCGCGUUGCUUCGAAUUAAACCACAUGCUCCACCGCUUGUGCGGGCCCCCGUCAAUUCCUUUGAGUUUCAGUCUUGCGACCGUACUCCCCAGGCGGAGUGCUUAAUGUGUUGACUUCGGCACAGCAGGGGUCGAUACCGCCCACACCUAGCACCCAUCGUUUACGGCGUGGACUAC
rnacentral:misc_RNA from 1 species